rnacentral:lncRNA from 1 species
CUUAAUUCUUUUCGUUGUACUCAUUGCUUCUCUUCCUCUUUUCGUCAACGACAAUGGGUAACCUAAUCUCAACCUUCUUACCAGCAGACUUAUUUGAUCGAAUUUCAAACUGCGUUGGUGAACAAGCAAAAUAUGUAUGGGGUCUCGAAAAAAAUCUUCGGAUCUUGGAGACUGAAUUGCACAAAUUGACUCGAGCAAGGGCCGAUCUGAAGACCAGGGUUGAGGUCGAACAACAACGACCUCGAACCAGACGAACGAACCAGGUCGCAGGGUGGCUUGAAGAUGUGCAAAAUCUGGAAACUGAAUUUGCCGAGCUGGAACGAGUCAGAGCUCAAGAAAUGGAUAGAUUGUGCCUUGGAGGCCUCUGUUCCAAAAACUUCGUUUUAAGCUACAAUUACGGGACUAAGGUGGUCGAGUUGACGGAUCGAGUGAUCAAUUUAAAGAAAGACGGAGAAAAAAUUGAAGUCGUUGUUGAGAAGGCGCCGGAUGGUGCAGCAAUUGAAUUACCUCUUGAUCACACAGUUGUUGGUCAAGAACUAUUACUUGGUCAAGUUUGGAGAUGUAUCACUGAUCAGGAAAAGAACAGGGGAAUUAUCGGCUUGUAUGGUAUAGGGGGAGUCGGCAAAACUACCCUUUUAAAACAAGUCAACAACAACUUCUGCCAUCAACAGCAUAAUUUUGAUGUUGUUAUCUGGGCGGCUGUGUCAACACUUCAAGAUGACAUUGGAAAAAGGAUUGGCUUUUCAGAAGACAGAAACUGGAAGGAAAAAAGUCUUCAAGACAAGGCUGUGGACAUCGCUAGCAUUCUAAGCGGAAAGAAGUUUGUGUUGUUAUUAGAUGAUAUAUGGGAGCCCAUUGAUUUAACACAGCUGGGUGUCCCUCUUCAAAAUCUAAAUGAUGGGUCCAAAAUAGUCUUGACAACUCGUUCAGCUGGGGUUUGCGAUCAAAUGGACGCUGAAAAGGUGGAAGUGUCUAGUUUGGCACAUGAUGAAGCCUGGAAAUUAUUUCAGGAGAUGAUCGAAAGAUCCACUCUUGACAGUCAUACCAGUAUUCCAGGGCUAGCCGAAACCCUGGCAAGAGAGUGUGGUGGGUUGCCGCUAGCGCUUAAAACAGUGGGUCGAGCCAUGAAAAGCCAAAGGAAAGUUGGAGAUUGGAAACGUGCAAUUCACAAAAUGACAACAUCAGCUUCUAAAUUCUCAGGUAUGAAAGAAGAGGUGUUUUCGCGUUUAAAGUUCAGCUAUGAUAGUUUGUCUACGGAUGAACUUCGUUCCUGUCUCCUGUAUUGCUGUUUGUAUCCUGAAGACUACGAAAUUCCUAAAAGGCAAUUGAUUGAUUAUUGGAUUAGUGAAGGAUUUGCGUGUGAUUUUGAUGAUGGAUGCGAUUUUAUUGAUGACCUUCUUCAUGCAUGCUUAUUGGAGGAAGAAGGCGAUGAUCAUGUAAAGACGCACGAUAUGAUUCGUGAGAUGUCAUUAUGGAUAGCGUGCACGGUAGACAAGGAGGAGCAGAACUUUCUGGUUCGCGCUGGAGUUGAAUUGACCGAAGCACCAAAGGUUGAAGAAUGGGAAGGUGCCAAACGGGUAUCUCUGAUGGAAAAUAAAAUUGAAAGCCUAUCGGAAAUUCCCACGUGUCCGCGUCUCGUAACUUUACUGCUGGAUGAAAAUCGGAUUGAGGAGAUCACUGAUGGCUUCUUUCAAUCUAUGUCGUCUCUUAGAGUAUUAAGUCUAAGAGGAAAUUUUCCCCUAAGUACACUACCUUCGGGGAUUUCAGGUUUGGUUUCAUUGCAUCAUCUUGAUCUAUCAUCGACUCACAUAACUGGGUUGCCGCAAGAGCUGAAGGCGUUGGAGAAGUUGAGAUAUUUGAACUUGGACUAUACAGAGUACUUGUCCAUAAUUCCACAUCAAUUGAUAUCUGGCUUUUCAAAGUUGGAGGAACUCAGGUUGUUUGCGUCCGGUCGCUGGGGCGUAAUAGAGGAAGAAGAAGGUAACGUUCUAUGUGAUGAUGCUGAACCUUUGAUGAAGGAAUUGCUGGGUUUGAAGCAUUUAAAUGUUUUAAGCUGGUCCUUCCGAAGUUCACUUGCUGUCCAAAAGUUUUUGAAAUAUCCAAAGCUGGUUAGCAUCACUCAAUCUGUAUGGGUUGAAUGUGGCAUGUAUACAAGGCCACCGUUCAAUGUCUUACAUCUAGCAUAUAUGGAGAAUCUUCAGGAGUUGCGUCUUUCUCAGAGUGAUUUGGAGGAGAUGAAGAUUGACAGCACAGAAGAGGUGAAGAAGCUUUUUCAAAGUGGUUUCCGCAGUCUCGACACAGUUGAUCUAUUUUAUUGCCAAAAAGCGAAGGACUUAACGUGGCUUGUUUUUGUUCAAAACCUCAAGGAGCUGCGUAUAGUGUAUUGUGAAUACGUGGAAGAAAUUAUCGGGGCUGAUAAAUUGAGAGAUAUUUCAGAGAUAGUGGGGUCAGAGCAUAACGUUUUCGCAGAACUCGAAUUUCUAUCCUUAUGGGGGGGAAUAAAUUUAAAGAGCGUUUACCCGAAUCCCCUGCCCUUUCCAAAGUUGAAGAAAAUUCAAGUACUUCAUUGCCGACAGCUGAAGAAGCUCCCACUCAAUUCCAGCAGCGCGAAGUUACGUCGAGCUGUCAUCGAGGGAACGAAAAAGUGGUGGGAAGAGCUACAAUGGGAGGAUCAAGCCACCCAAAAUGCUUUCUCUUCCGGUGCCGUACUUACUGAGUUUCCUUUUUAUUAAUAUGUUUUAAUAUGUAUUUCUUUUUCUUUUCUUUUUUUAAUUUUCAUUAGAUUUAAUUGCAUCUUGUUCUUGUUGUCUGGUGUGUCAAUCGUUCCCUACUUUCAGUUAAUAAAAUUUCAGCAGUGGAUUCUUGGUUUAUUAAUGUUUAUAUAACUGAAUUGUUCAGCAGAUGUACUCUGCACGACUAACACAGAAAUAAACACAGAAAUAAAUAUAUGUAAGGGGUUACAGGACUGACUCUGCUUCUGGCUUCUAAGGAGAAAGAGGGGAAAAUAAACAUUUUAUCUUCCCUUAACUGCUCUCCUUUGGUUUGAAUGUGAACUUAACACUCUUUUAUUAUUAAAAUUUAAUUAUUUGGUUGUAUAAUAUAUUUCUCCAAUAAACGAAGAAUGAUAAAGGAGCAACUAAAAAAACCCAUCAAAAUAUUUCACCAAUGAAAAGAUUCAUGAGAAAUAAACAUUAUAAUCCGAACAAAUAAAUCAAUUAGUCAAUAUAUCAUUUAGCCGAAUUAAAGACGCUGCUUGCGCUUCGUAGUUCUGAGCUUAGAAUCAAGUAGAGAACUGAAUAUGAAAUUUUUAAUUGCUGAGAAUAUGAAUUUGAGGUUGAUGGACGACUUGAAAGAGAGGGACAAGAAAGAAUGAUACAGAGCAGGUGGCUGGCAAAAGGGACCUUAUGACGAUCUUCUUCAGUACAGCUAUGAUGCCGCUUCCACCUUCAAUUGAAUGUCAGAAAAUUCAAAGUUUGUCAAAAGAGGAUGGUAAAUUAAGCUGUUUUUUUUUUUUCUUUUUUGCAAAAUUUACCAAGUGAAUUAAUCCAUUAUUUUAUCUAUCAAUCAGUACACAAUCUACAUUACCCCACGCUAACAAAACACUGACUAUAAAUCUAUGACUAUACAAUGCGCACUUUGGUUACUGCCCCAGCCCUCUUACCCAAAAGAACCACAAAAGCAACGAAAAACUAAAUUGAUUACAUAAUCAAAUCAAGUUCUUCUUAGCUACUGUGAUCGAUUUGUCCAGCACCAUCAGUUAAUUUCUCUAGUUUUCAGCAAAAAUGGUCGAGUUCUUGAGUCUUCUUUGCACGUUUCAUCUCAUUUAUUCUGUCGAUAAAGCUUAUACACAUCAUCCGCAACGACAACAAAUUAAAUUAAUAUGUGUCGAGUUUUGGAGCCAGAGCCAGCGGUGCAAGCGCAAGAGAAAGGGACUUCACACAAGAAUUUGCCAGACCAUGGGCUACAGAAAGGUGCCUCACUUCACGGACGCGGAAUUUGGUUGGCUCCUGGGCCAUUAAGGGUGAAUGCAUCUUUCUUUUUAUGUGAAUUUAAUUAUUGAACCCGGUAUCUUGAAUAAAUAUAAAUUUGACUGUAGCACCAAGUAUCAAUGAUUGCAAAAUGUAAAUUUGACAUAUUGUGUGGUUAAAUCAUCUUGUACUAAUCGUUUAUGUUAAUUUAUGGAGGCCUUAAUGUCCAAGGCAUACGUAAAGGGGUACAGGACUGACUCUGCUUCUGGCUUCUAAGGAGAAUGAGGGGAAAAUUUUAUAAACAUUUGUGGAGUGGCCGUAUAAAGGACGUGUGGUUCUCAAUCCAUUUCACAUUUGGCAUUGUAAUGUUUAUGGACUCAUAUAAAUGAUGUCACACAAAUAGUUAAACGAAGAAGGUGUUUGAUGAAAACGAAAGGGCCUUUUUCUUUUUUUAAAUCCCGCUAAAGGUUAUAAUUAACAACAAAUUAAUAAUAGAAGAGAGAGAAAUACCAAGUUCAAUACGGUAAUAUUUUAUCUUCCUUUUAACUGCUCUCCUUUGGCUUAUAAUGCGACCUUUACACUCGUGGACAAAAUUGUAUUUGUCGCUUAAGUCUUGCUUGUUUUAAAAUGCUGGCAUAUUUAUGGAGUGGGAACCCAGAUGCUGAACUCAUAGUAAAUAUUUAUUUAAUUUGUUAGAAUUAUUUUUGGUGGGAUAAUUUUAAAUAUUAAUUUAACAAGAUAGUGAUGUUUGCCUUGCCCUACAUGGAAAAAAUAAUAAUAAUUAAAGUUUUUUCUGUUCCUUUAUAUUAGUAAUAGAUUUCAGAUGGGAAACAGAAAAUUUAUUUCUGUUUCAAUAAUUACCAUAUCACUGUGUGCGUGCGUGAUCACAUAAUUUUGUACUACCGUCUGUGGAAUAACUUUAGGAAAAGAAAAUUAAUUUUUUUUAAGUAACAAUAAAUAUUUUAAAUUGUUUUCUUCUCUUAUCAAUUGUUUUUUUCUCCUAUCUUCCAAUGAAAGUGCAGGACCUCAAUUAUUUUAAUAGAGAUGUAGUAAUAAAUUAUUAGGGGAUCCAUAAAAUAAAUAUACAUGGUUUCAAAAAAGUUAGCACAUGCUUGUUACAAAUAUAAAAAAUUAUCUUAAAAGUCUCGGAACUUUUGUGUUCUCUUUAAUAUUUUUUUCUUAUGUUGUUAUUGUACUAUAUGGAUACAAGGGUGCGUUUGGUACGUUGUAUUAUAUUAUGUUGUAUUGCAUUAUUUUAAUAUAGGUAUAUUACAUUAUGUUGUGUUGUAUUAGUAAUGUAUUAUAAUAAUGUUGUACAAUGUUUGGUACUAUACUGUAUUGUAUUAAUUUUUAAUUAAUAUUAUUCAAAUGUAUUCAUAUUUAAAUAUUUAUUAUUAGUUAUAUUAAAUUAUUUAAAAAUAACUAGUUUAAUUAUUUUAAUAUAAUUAAAUAAUAUUAUAAUAUAUUAUAUUAUUUAAGUAUUUAUUAUUAGUUAUAUUAACUUAUUAAAAAUUAAUCAAUUAUAUAUAUUAAUUAAUAUAAUUUUACAUAUUAAUUAAUAUAAUAUAAUUAAAUAAUACAUUUUUUAGUUGUACAUUUACUAUAAUAAAAAUUAAAAUAUAAUAUAAUAUUAAAUUAAAAAUUAUAUUCAUUUAUUAUUAUUACAAAGUAUAAAAAAAAAAAAAAAAGGAAGCUAAAGCUAAUGCGGUAACUGGACACAUUAGCUAAACCCGACUAUAACAUAUGUCGGGUUUAGCUAAUACAACCAUUUGGUACCUCAGACAUGGUGCUGCAUUGCUAAUGCAAUGUAAUCCCAGGUAAAGAGGGGUACCAGACAACCCCCAAGUUCACUUAAUGUAACAUAACAUACUUUUUUUUUCUAUAUAUAUAUAUACACUACGUGGAAGUGAGCUCCUUAAGGUGAGAUUUAGCAAAAUUAUAAAUUAUUACAGCAUGAAAUUUAUUUUUAUUUAUAAUUGGCCUAAUAUAAAUUAGGACCAGUACUUUUAUAGCUAUAUGAAAUUAUUUUUAUAUAAAAUAUCACUACAUAAAUGUUUUAUUACAAUAUUAAUCUCUUUUUUUUAUUGUAUUUAUCUCUUCAUAAUCUUUUCCUUUUUAUAAAAAAAAAAAAUCAACUAAAAGAUUCAUCAACAUCUCAUUCCAACAAUCUACUAGCGAAAAUGAGUGUCCAUGCUUUUGAACCAAGGCCCGAUAUGUGAGGGAGAGAUUGUUGGGUUGUCUUACAUCGGUUGUGAACUAGGAUGGUGGUGAUUUUACAAGUGUGAGGGAAAGUCUCACCCCUUAUCCAUCUUUUGGGUUGGGAUUGAAUGAGACCCAAAACCGCUUAACAUGAAUUCUAUCACUGGGAUUUUUACCCAGUAUAACAAACAUAACAACACAAUGAAUUAUCAAUUUAUCACGUAAUGGCUCUAACUUUAGCGAUGAUCACCUUACAUGAACAUGAAAAUUAAUCCCAUUGUUUAACUCAACAAUGACGAUAAUCACUUAAACUCUUAUGCACCAAAGGAUAUACUCGCUACAGGGAAUCUUAACUCAUAAAGAUUAAUUUUAGUGGGGGGCAAAAGAGCACGAGUGAUCCAAACCACUAAACAACAUCAUAACCAACACAAAAUUUAUACUAAACAAACCAUUACCAAAACAGCAAAGCUAGACAUAAAUUUGAACAGAUACACAAGCUACAUUCAUUACCAUAAUGUAUCGACUAAAUUUCCAAGCUCUACAUUUUGAACAAAGAAUUUAUAAAAUUACAUAAUCUAAUAAAUUAAUAUAGAAAUAAAAUUGGCAUCAGAUCAAAUUACUAUUAAUGUACCUUGCAUAAACCAUUCUCUUCUAUCGGCAUUCACCUCCGCGCUCGAUUGGCUCUCCUGUGCUGCUUGUCUAAUUGAUUCAAAUCCACAUAGACAAAUUUAAGCAUAUUAAGUUUUCAAACUCAAAUCAACAGCUUUAAAAGUUACUUCACAAACAAUGAAUUUCAUUUUCGAAAUACAAAGAAUCCGUUCAGUUUAAAACAAUAAAAAAUCGUCUACGACUACUCAACUCAUGUAUGAUAACUAAAAAACGAAGGAUACCCACAAAAAUUAAAGAUAAAUUACCAAAAACCCAAAAAACUCAAGCCAAAAUUGCCAAAAAAAAAGCGAGAGAAUGGAAAUUGGCGUACCAGGGGCAGGAGAGAGGAAACGAGAAGAGGAAGAAAGAAGGGUUUUGGAGAGAGUGGGAAUUAGUGGAGGCAAAAAUGGAGAGUUUUGAGAGUGAGAUGAUUGGUGGGGUGGUGAUGGCGGUGGUGGGGUUAAUGUUCUGGAGGGUAUGCUGAAGAGAGGUCGCAAGAGAACCUCCAUAGCCUUUAAAGAGAGUUGAGUUGCUGCUUUCUUUUGCCGUGGAUGGAGAGAGAUUAAGGGAUUAGAAUUCUGUAUUGAAUUAAUUUUUUAUUAAAUAAAAAAUUAUUGUUAAAAUUUAUUUUAUUUUAAUUUUUUAUCUAGCUAUCAUUGACUUAAUAUUUUGAAUCUUUAUCCAAAGUUAAGGCACAAAAUUUUUAUUCUAAAUAAAUAUUCUCAAUAUAAAUAUAUCACUUAAAUAAUAAUGAUAAGAUUUAAUAUUAAUUCUGUCAUUACUGAAAGAAUUACAAAUUUUAUAUGACGUGCAAACGUAUCAUUAUAUUCUUGAUAUUUGAAACAUGAAUAAAGCAACAAAUGUAUCAUAUUUUUAUUUUGGUGUUGUGGUUCUCUAAAAAUUGUUGAAAGCAGCAGCUGUGAAGAGUCAACGGUUGACCUUGAUUCUGUGAGUUGGAUUUGUUGAGCUGGCAAAACUGUUAUGUUGAAGAAUAGCAGCGCAUGUGCAUUGAAUAGUUGCAUCUUCUAGAAGCUUAAUGUGAUUGGUUCACAAUUGCUAUAUUCACGGAUCAAUUUUGAUUACUUCCGUGUAAUACCCCUUAGGCUAGCUGUCAUUAUUUUUUGUCUCUGUAUGUAAACUAGCAAAGCUCUGUAUUUCAUUUUCAUUCAAGUCAUCAUUAUCAAUAAAGACCUGAUUCUCAUACUCUGUUUGCAUUUGACAGCAAUUCUUAAGAAUUUAAGUAAAAAUUAGCUUAAUUCUUUUCAUUGUACUCGUUGCUUCUCUUCCUCUUUUCGCCAACGACAAUGGGUAACCUAAUCUCAACCUUCUUACCAGCAGACUUAUUUGAUCGAACUUCAAACUGCGUUGGUGAACAAGCAAAUUAUGUAUGGGGUCUCGAAAAAAACCUUCGGGUCUUGGAGACUGAAUUGCACAAAUUGACUCGAGCAAGGGACGAUCUGAAGACCAAGGUUGAGGUCGAAGAACAGCGACGUCGAACCAGACGAACGAACCAGGUCGCAGGGUGGCUUGAAGAUGUGCAAAAACUGGAAACUGAAUUUACCGAGCUGGAACGAGUUAGAGCUCAUGAAAUCGAUAGAUUGUGCCUUGGAGGCCUCUGUUCCAAAAACUUCGUUUCAAGCUACAAUUACGGGACUCAGGUGGUCGAGUUGACGGAUCGAGUGAUCAAUUUAAAGAAAGACGGAGAAAAAAUUGAAGUCGUUGUUGAGAAGGCGCCAGAUGGUGCAGCAAUUGAAUUACCUCUUGAUCACACAGUUGUUGGUCAAGAACUAUUACUUGAUCAAGUUUGGAGAUGUAUCACUGAUCAGGAAAAUAAUAGGGAAAUUAUCGGCCUGUAUGGUAUCGGGGGAGCCGGCAAAACUACCCUUUUAAAACAAGUCAACAACAACUUCUGCCAUCAACAGCAUAAUUUUGAUGUUGUUAUCUGGGCGGCUGCGUCAACACUUCAAGAUGACAUUGGAAAAAGGAUUGGCUUUUCAGAAGACCAAAGCUGGGAGAAAAAAAGUCCUCAAGACAAGGCUGUGGACAUCGCUAGCAUUUUAAGCAGAAGGAAGUUUGUGUUGUUAUUGGAUGAUAUAUGGAAACCCAUUCAUUUAACAGAAUUGGGUGUCCCUCUUCAAAAACUAAAUGAUGGGUCCAAAGUAGUCUUGACAACUCGUUCAGCUGGUGUUUGCGAUCAAAUGGACGCUGAAAAGGUGGAAGUGUAUAGUUUGGCGCAUGAUAAAGCCUGGGAAUUAUUUCAGGAGAUGGUCGACAGAUCCACUCUUGACAGUCAUACCGGUAUUCCAGAGCUAGCCGAAACCUUGGCAAGAGAGUGUGGUGGGUUGCCGCUAGCGCUUAAAACAGUGGGUCGAGCCAUGAAAAGCCAAAGGAAAGUUGGAGAUUGGAAACGUGCAAUUCACAAAAUGAGAACAUCAGCUUCUAAAUUCUCAGGUAUGAAAGAAGAGGUGUUUUCGCGUUUAAAGUUCAGCUAUGAUAGUUUGUCUACGGAUGAACUUCGUUCCUGUCUCCUGUAUUGUUGUUUAUAUCCUGAAGACUACGAAAUUCCUAAAAGGGAAUUGAUUGAUUAUUGGAUUAGUGAAGGAUUUGUAUAUGAUUUUGAUGAUGGAUGUGAUUUUAUUGAUGACCUUCUUCAAGCAUGCUUAUUGGAGGAAGAAGGCGAUGAUCAUGUAAAGAUGCACGAUAUGAUUCGUGAGAUGUCAUUAUGGAUAGCGUGCACGGUAGACAAGGAGGAGGAGAACUUUCUGGUUCGCGCUGGAGUUGAAUUGACCGAAGCACCAAAGUUUGAAGAAUGGGAAGGUGCCAAACGGGUAUCUCUGAUGGGAAAUGGAAUUAGGAGCUUAUCGGAAAUUCCCACGUGUCCGCGCCUCUUAACUUUACUUCUGGGUGGAAAUCGGAUUGAGGAGAUUACUGAUGGCUUCUUUCAAUCGAUGUCUUCUCUUAGAGUAUUAAGUCUAAGAGGAAAUUUUCCCCUAAGAACACUACCUUCAGGGAUUUCAGGUUUGGUUUCAUUACAUCAUCUUGAUCUAUCAUCGACUAACAUAACUGGGUUGCCGCAAGAGCUGAAGGCGUUGGAGAAGUUGAGAUAUUUGAACUUGGACUAUACACGGUUUUUGUCUAUAAUUCCACAUCAAUUGAUAUCUGGUUUUUCAAAGUUGGAGGUACUCAGGUUGCUUUCACGCGGUCGCUGGAGCGUAAUAGAAGGUAACGUUCUAUGUGAUGAUGCUGAACCUUUGAUGAAGGAAUUGCUGGGUUUGAAGCAUUUAAAUGUUUUAAGCUGGACCUUCCGAAGUUCACUUGCUGUCCAAAAGUUUUUGAAAUAUCCAAAGCUGGUGAGCAUCACUCAAUCUGUAAUGGUUUGCCAAUGUGAAAGUCCACCGUUCAAUGUCUUACAUCUAGCAUACAUGGAGAAUCUUCAGGAGUUACGCAUUUCAGACAGUAAUUUGGAAGAGAUGAAGACUGACAGCACAGAAGAGGUAAAGAAACUUUUUCAAAGUGGUUUCCGCAGUCUCGACAGAGUUGUCAUAUGGAGUUGCCAAAAAAUGAAAGACUUAACGUGGCUAGUUUUUGUUCAAAUUCUCAAGCAGCUGCGUAUAGUCUUUUGUACAGAAAUGGAAGAAAUAAUUAGUGUUGAUAAAUUGAGAGAUAUUUCGAAGAUAAUCGGGUCAGAGCAUAACUUUUUUGCACAACUCGAAUCUCUAACCAUAAAGUGGGGAAGAAAUUUAAAGAGCGUUUACCCGAAUCCCCUGCCCUUUCCAAAGCUGAAGAAAAUUGAAGUACGUGAAUGCCCACAGCUGAAGAAGCUCCCACUCAAUUCCAGCAGCGCGAAGGAACGUCGAGUUGUCAUCGAGGGGUCGAAAAAAUGGUGGGAAGAGCUACAAUGGGAGGACCAAGCCACCCAAAAUGCUUUCUCUUCCGGUGUCGUACUUGGGGAUGAUUUUCAUUAAUAUGUUUGAAUAUGUAUUUCUUUUCUUUUUCUUUUUUUUUUUAAUUUUCAUUAGAUUUAAUUGCAUCUUGUUGUUGUUGUCUGGUGUGUCAAUCGUUAUCUAUUUUCAGUUAAUAAAAUUUCAGCAGUGGAUUCUUGGUUUUAGAAUCCUCCCACUGGAAAGAAUUUCUCCUUUGGCUUGAAUGCGACCUUUUUACUCGUCGACAAAAUUGUAUUUGUCGCUUAAGUCUUGUUUGUUUUAAAAUGCUGGCAUAUUUAUAGAGUGGGAACUCAGAUGCUGAACUCAUAGUAAAUAUUUAUUUAAUUUGUUAUAAUUAUAUUUGGUGAGAUAUUUAUUCAAUAAUUGCCCUAUCACUUUGUGCAUGAUCACAGAAUUUUGUACUUCCGUCUGUGAAAUAACUUUUGGAAAAGGAAAUUAAUUUUUUUAAGUAACGGUAAAUAUUUUAAAUUUUUAUUUUAAAUUUUAUUUUAAAUAAUAUAGUAUGUAAUGUGUCAUUUAUUUAGUGAUUGAUAAUUUAAUAUAGGAUUUAAAUAAAUUAAUUAUGCUAUUUUAUUAUUUAAUUAAUAAAUAUUAUAUAAUUUAAAAUAGAUUUUUGAGAUAAAAAUUAUAAAAGUAAAAUUCUACUCAACAGACUAAAUUUAAAAUGAUGUGAUUGGCAGGUAAGACUUAAGAAUUAGACAAAAUUUCUCAUUCAACAGCUUGUAGAAAAUUUAUACACUAGGCCUUAGCUAAACUUGGACUUGUCGUAUGUUUGAAGUAUUCGACGAUAAUCAUAUCUGCAUUUUGUGAAAUAAUUAAGAUUUUUUAUUUUUGGUUUGUUUAGGGCUUUUCAUCGGUCUUCGUCUUGGUCUUUGUCCUGGUCUUGGCGUCUUGCUAUCAAAUCAAGUGUUCUCUUCUCCCAUCCUCUAAUGAAAGUGCAGGGCCUCAAUUAUUUGUGCUGAGCUGUUUGUUACUGCUAUCACUUUAGAGGUUGAUGCUAAUGUCCAAAGGUCACAUUUAAUUUGCUUGAAUGCGACCUUUAUUUUGGUUGACAAAGAUUAUUUGGUUGCAAAGAUUAUAAUUAACAACAAGCUAAUAUCUAUAUAGUAGAGAGAGAAAUAACAAAUUCAAUGUUGGUAAAAUUUUAUCUUCCCUUCACUGCUCUCCUUUGCUGCAAUCAAGCUACAGUUGUAAAGUGUUUGAUAAACACUAAUUGUUGUGUCUUGAAAGAUAUGUUGAUAUAAUUUUUCACUUGUAUAAUAGAGAAUCUAUUAUGUUAUUAUUAAUAAUUUCGUCAAAAUUAUUAUUUAAAAUUUUAUAUUUAAUAAAUAUUAUUAACUUUUGUUUUAUAGUUACAAUUUUUUUUUUUUUUACAACAACUGUUGCUUAAAAAUUAUAACACUUCAAUUCCAAACAUACCUUAAGUCUAUAAGGCAUAAGUUUUCACUCUUCAGAAAGGUGUUUGAUGGAAAUGUAAAGAAGUUCGAUGAAAUGUCUCACCUACACAACCAAGCCACUUAACAUUGCAGUCUUAUAAUACGAAUUCCUGCCUUCUCUUCCAUUUUCACAAACAUAAUUCUUUCUUUCUCACUUUAUUUUCUUCCUUGAAAUUUUUGUUAACAAAAAUGGGUAACAUCAUUCUCAUGCGUGCUUCUUAUCACCAGACUCAAUUCUUGCAGUUUUAUUUUAUUUUAUUUUAUUUUUCCUUCGUGGAGAUGCUAAAAUAUAUAUGAGAUCUAAAAAGCUAAUCUUGAUGAGUUGCAGAAUCCAAUGCAGAAUUUGAAAGUUACAAAAGAUUAUAAAUACUAUUUUAACUUGUAAGCUUCCAUUGCUAUACAGUGAGGUAUGUCUAGAUAUCAUUUUGGUCUUUUAUAUAUUGGGUUCCAGUGAAAGACUUUUGUUCUAGUUGAAUUUAAUUUUGUCUUUGUAUUUACAGACAAACUAUUAGGGACAUUUAUCAUACAUAUUUGGCUAGUUCGCCGUGGAAAAAUAAUAAUAGUUGAAAAGACAUAGGGUACUUUUUAUUUUCCUUUAUAUUACUAAUAGAUUUCCCACGCGCAACAGACGAAGUCAUUGCUGCUUCAAUAAUUGCCCUAUCACUGUGUUCAUCAUCACAAAUUUCUUUAUUACGUUUGUGAAAUAACCUUAGCAUAACAAAAUUACUCCUCCUUUUUAACUAAUAAUAGAUAUCUCAAAUUUUAUUUUCAGAAUAUGGUAUGUAAUGUAAGUGAUUGAUAGUUCUUUAUAAAAUAUAUAAAUAAAUUAAUAGUGUUUUCUUAGUGUCUAAUAUAUAUAAAUCACUUGCUCCAUAUAUUGCACUAUUGAUAUGGGCUAAAGUUUUAUACUAUGAGACCCAAUUUCUAUAAUUUACACUAUAAGUUACAAGUAUUUAGGAAAAUACUAUUGCAAAUCAGAAGGUAUUAUCUAUUUUAUACCUAAAGCAUUUCACUAUUUAAGACUAGUAAAACUUCUAUAUUAUUAUAAUAUUUGAAUCAAACACCAAUAAGCGAGUAAAUCAGGUGGAAUGAGAAUGUUCUAACUUAACCAAGGUCCUCGGUUUGAAACUUAGAAAUGCAACUACAUUAAAUACUUAUUGGGAGAGAUUUGCCGCUUUAGUGGUCCUAUCCCGCUUGAAUCUAGAUUAGUCGGGGAUCUAAUGUGGUCUUUGGAUACUAGAUGAUUUAAAAUACCGAUAAUAUUGGAACCAAACUAAUUUACAAUUAUGAAGAUGUUAUAAUUUAAUAGAGGCAUAGUAACAAACUAUUAAUAGAGCGUAUAAAAUUUAAUGUAUAAACAAAAUUCUAUAAUUUACACUAUAAGUUGCAAGUAUUUAGGUCAAUACUAUUGCAAAUCAGAAGAUAUUAUCUAUUUUAUGCCGAAAAUAUUUCCACUAUUUAAGGAUAGUAAAACUUCUAUAUAAUUAUAAUAUUGGAACCAAACACCAACAAGCGAGUAAAUCAACUAGAAUGGAAAUGUUCUAACGUCAAGGUCCUCGGUUCAAAACUUAGAAAUGCAACUACAUUAAAUAUUUAUUGGGAGAGAUUUGCCGCUCUAGUAGUUCUAUCCGGGUCGAAUCUGGAUUAGUCGGGAAUCUAAUGUGGUCUUUGGAUACUAGAUGAUUUAAUGUACCAAUAAUAUUGGAACCAAACUAAUUUACAAUUAUGAGGAGGUUAUAAUUUAAUAGAGGCGUAGUAACAAACUAUUAAUAGAGUGUAUCAAAUUUAAUAUUGGAAUCCGAUGAUUGGUUGCAACAUAAGAUAUUUGUAAGCUUAGUUAAAGGUUCAUUAAAAAUUAUAGAGAUAUAUAAUUUCGCAGUCGAUGAAGCCGUGCAUGAGGUUAAGGCAAGUGAUGGAAUGACUUGCGUUACAAAAGAGGUAUGUGAAGUUGCACUAUAAAAAUAAAAUAAAUUUGUAUUUUCAAGUAGUGAAGGUGUAGUUAGUUUAUUUGCGGUAGCAGUUUCACAGCUGACAGAUGAACAAAGAGUGGUUGCUUGUCAAAUGGGCUUUGGUAGUUUGCGACAACUGAACCUUGGCAAGCUAAAAAGGAAACUUUGUGGCUAGUUAAUUGAGAUGAUUGAUACUUUGAGGUACAUUUUAGAGUUGAAUGGUAUUAGCUUUCAAACAAGAUCAUCAAAGAAACUCUACCAACUAGGAAAUUUAAACUUAAUCUAUGCUCCGCAAAUUCGAAUAUUCUCUAAUAUGAAACUACUUUUAUGUGUUUUAUUAUUCCUAGCUUUUACCGACUUGGUAACGUUGUUAUGGAAGCACGACAACUAUUAUGUCCGUGUAAUUUUUAUUGUAUCUUUUGUUAUGUCAUGAUAUCGAAGCUUAGUUUUAUGACUCUAACUACUAAGAACUGCAAUUGCAGCAUCUUUUGAAUAUUACAUAUGUGCUUGUAGUAUCUCGACGGAUUAAAACCUGCUAUUUAAGUUCUUCUACCCCCUCCCCCCCUUCAUUCUUUCAUUUAUACUUGCUGCACUAUUUACUUCGCACUCUGUAAAGCCAGAUGAAAGCUUGUUCAUUUAUGUUCACUUGCAAUUCAAAAGCACAGUUUAUUUCAACUGUCAAAUUGACAACUUGCACGUAUAGAUUUCAGUCGAAACAAGGUUAUUGGUCGAUCAAGAAAUUGAAUCCAUAUGGCCGUUCCAGCGUUAUUCAACUACCUAAUAUCAAAUAUAUAAAUUAAUUCAACCCACUUCUGUGUCAAAGGCAUGGAACAAAUUAUGAAAGAUUUUUCAGCUAUCAUAAAUUCGAACGAGUGUAGUUUGUAUCCUUUCGAACUUAGACAGAUUUUCCUUCCAUUAACCUUAUAGUGUUAGUAAUCCUAUUACUUGUUUUUAAAGCUUGAAUAGUAUACCGAAAUUUUUGGUUUUUGCAACAUAAACUUGUAUGUAAUGUACAUUUUAUAGUUCUUUACAAAUUAAUUGCUGCUAAAAUAAUUGUUUCGACUACUAUAUUUAUUGUUAUAAUAGAUAAACAUUUUCUUGCAACUCAAACAGUUCCAAUGGCAUGAUCUGCAUCCCCCGUUUGCCUCUUGGGCUACGAACCUGCUUAACAGCUGCACCAUCUUGCUCCUUUUCAUCAAACGGCAACUUCGCUGCAGACAAAAAGAGGGGGUACACUGCCCAGGGGCACCAUAAACGCAGCCCAAAAAGAUGAUUUUGUCUUUCCAUGUCUUAGUAUUUUAACCAAAAAUAAUAAUAAUAAUUCUUUACAUCAUCAAUGAUUGCACUUGUAAGCCAGGCAAUAGUUUUUUUAUUAAAUAAAAAAUUAAUGUUAAAUUUUUUUUUUUUUUUUUUUUUUUUUUAUCUAGCUAUCAUUGACUUAAUAUUUUGAAUCUUCAUCCAAAGUUAAGGCACAAAACUUUUAUUCUAAAUAAAUAUUCUCAAUAUAAAUUUAUCACUUAAAUAAUAAAUAAUAAGAUUUAACAUUAAUUCUGUCGUUACUGAAAUGAAUUGUAAAUUUUAUAUGACGUGUAAACGUAUCAUUAUGUUCUUGAUAUUUGACAUAUGAAUUAUAAAGCAACAAAUGUAUCAUAUUUUUAUUUCGGUAUUGUGCUUCUCCAUAUUUGCUUAAUUCUUUUCGUUGUACUCAUUGCUUCUCUUCCUCUUUUCGUCAACGACAAUGGGUAACCUAAUCUCAACCUUCUUACCAGCAGACUUAUUUGAUCGAAUUUCAAACUGCGUUGGUGAACAAGCAAAAUAUGUAUGGGGUCUCGAAAAAAAUCUUCGGAUCUUGGAGACUGAAUUGCACAAAUUGACUCGAGCAAGGGCCGAUCUGAAGACCAGGG